rnacentral:misc_RNA from 1 species
GGGGCAUGCCUGUCCGAGCGUCGUUUGCACCACUCAAGCUCCGCUUGGUAUUGGGCCCUGCUACCUAGCAGGCCUUAAAUCUAGUGGCGGCCCCCCUCCCUAGCGCGUAGUAUUGUACGCGCCCUAGGUGCGGGAGGCGCCUGCCAGCUAAACUCCUUUGUUGUGACCUCGGAUCAGGUAGGACUACCCGCUGAACUUAA